AACGAACGCUGGCGGCGUGGAUAAGACAUGCAAGUCGAACGCUUAUUUUCCGGUAGCAAUAUUGGGAAGUAGGAGUGGCGCAAGGGUGCGUAACACGUGGAUCAUCUGCCUGGAAGUUCGGAAUAAUUCGGCGAAAGCCGGACUAAUGCCGGAUGUGGUUGGAAGACUAAAGUUGGGGACCGCAAGGCCUGACGCUUCCAGAUGAGUCCGCGGCCUAUCAGCUAGUUGGCGGGGUAACGGCCCACCAAGGCGAAGACGGGUAGCUGGUCUGAGAGGACGACCAGCCUCACUGGAACUGAGACACGGUCCAGACACCUACGGGUGGCAGCAGUCGAGAAUUUUUCUCAAUGGGGGAAACCCUGAAGGAGCGACGCCGCGUGGGGGAUGAAGGGCUUCGGCCCGUAAACCCCUGUCAUUUGCGAACAAGUGUCAUGGUUGAACAUUCCAUGGCUUGAUUGUAGCGAAAGAGGAAGGGACGGCUAACUCUGUGC
rnacentral:rRNA from 1 species